rnacentral:rRNA from 1 species
GGGAACCGUGAGACAGGUGCUGCAUGGCUGUCGUCAGCUCGUGUUGUGAAAUGUUGGGUUAAGUCCCGCAACGAGCGCAACCCUUAUCCUUUGUUGCCAGCGGUCCGGCCGGGAACUCAAAGGAGACUGCCAGUGAUAAACUGGAGGAAGGUGGGGAUGACGUCAAGUCAUCAUGGCCCUUACGACCAGGGCUACACACGUGCUACAAUGGCGCAUACAAAGAGAAGCGACCUCGCGAGAGCAAGCGGACCUCAUAAAGUGCGUCGUAGUCCGGAUUGGAGUCUGCAACUCGACUCCAUGAAGUCGGAAUCGCUAGUAAUCGUGGAUCAGAAUGCCACGGUGAAUACGUUCCCGGGCCUUGUACACACCGCCCGUCACACCAUGGGAGUGGGUUGCAAAAGAAGUAGGUAGCUUAACCUUCGGGAGGGCGCUUACCACUUUGUGAUUCAUGACUGGGGUGAAGUCGUAACAAGGUAACCGUAGGGGAACCUGCGGUUGGAUCACCUCCUU